AAGAGCUUAGGAUAGUAUCUAGACCCGGGGCCUUCAAAGCCCUAAGCGGGAGUGAGAAUCUCCCAGCUCUUG
rnacentral:tRNA from 1 species